CGCGCAGGCCCGCGGGCGCCGGCGUGCGGAGGUGACUGCGCUUGCGCGGCGCGGGAAUGAGAAGCUCGCGGGCUGUGUGACGCGGUAGAAGUGAAGAUGCCACCCCGUCCUGCCCUCGGUCCGCUGGGCACAGUGGGGUAUUGCUCCAGGAUCUUGCUUCAGACGCGUAAGCUCCCCCAUCCAUUAAACCAUCGAUGUCUCUGUUGCUGACUCCGGGCUCUUCCGUCUUGAAGCUGGGCAAGCACAGGGCUUGUAGGCCUGCGGGGUGCAGCCCAACAGCUUCACAUGUAUUGACUCAUUUGAUGCUUCCAACAACUUCGUGAAGGAGGAAGCCAAGGCCUGCACCUACCCAGGGGAGGACAAGGCGUGCAGGACUCAGGUCGGACGUUUGAGGAAGGAGAGGAGGAGCCCGGGAACGAUGGAGCCCCAAGAGCACGGGGCAGCUGAAGGGUGUGAAGAUAAAGAACUGAAGCAGGUCAGAAUUCACAGUGAAUGGUGGGAAGACUCCACCACCAGCGUACCUGGUUCUAAGAUUUGCCUUGUAUACAGCAAUCAGGCCAUUUGCUUUUAUUCGUAUACAUGAAUGUUUCUGUGAUAUACUCAAGAAGACUUGAAUUUUUCACACACACAGACAUCCACCAAGUAACAGGGCAGAAAUGUGCACAAGCUCGGAAGCACAGGAACCACCUGGGUUCAGGUUCUGGACACGCCACGUCUUGCCGUGCAAGCUCAGAGGGCCUCCUUGACUUCACAGCCCUGGGUGAUUGUCAGGAUUAAAUAACACCGUGUUACCUACAAGGAAGCUGCCCUGUGAAUGCACAGAGGCUGUUUGACAUUUUUACAUGGUUUUAGAUAUAGUACCACUUAAACUGUGUUCCAGAAAAAAACUACAUACAAGUAAAAGUUUAAAAUGGCUUUAAAAAAAAAAUGUGGAACUCUUUUUAAAAUUGAAGUGUAACUGACC